UAACGAAACCAAUCCGGGAAAGGCUCAGCAGAAGGUGGAACAAGAUUUCAGUUGGGGUUUCGGGACUUCAAUCCGGCAGUUCCUGGAACAAUGAUCUACCCUCCAGGAUCCAGCCACAGCACCUGCAAAUCUCCAGGUUUGCUUCCUCCAUUUUAAGCAGGUGUCUGUCAUUAGCAGCUGGGAGACCUAAGGCUCCCACCCUGAGGGUUCGCGAUUCAGAUUCCAGGUCCAAAUCCCUUCGGAGUAUCUGCCUAGAGUAGCUGUUUCUCAAGCUGUAACCCGAGGAGUUUGCGCUUUAGCUGUUAAGGCACAUUGCUGAGCCCCCGUCCCGACCAACGGAAACGGAUCCCAGGGUGUCGGCUGCGAGUGGGGCGGGUGAGCAUGUUUUACAAGCUCCUAGGUGAUCUUAAGGCUCAAGUUUGAGAGCACUGGCCGACCUCAGCUCUACCUUUCCACUCUCCUCCCUCUCGGUCCGAACCAGGUGAUCCCGCCCGUCUGGCCACAGCUGAUUGGAUGAAGAGACGAUACCCGUCCGAACCGAGCCAAUCAGUUUGCUUUCCCCCAAACACGGAACUGGGGUUUAGGAGUCUUGGAGGCUGUUUAAACCUCUCUCCCCAACCCACACCAAGAAGUGGAAAAGGUAGCUCAGCAGAGGCAGGCGAAGGAGGGAACAACUGAGAAGAGGCAGGACGUAAGUGACCAAGGUUCCAUAACGUUCCUCAUCCCCAUCUCCGCCUCGCGAGCCCCCCUUUUGCCACUGACUGCGGGACCCCUGUGUUUUUACAGACCCUUCCACUUUUUGCAGUGGGUAACUAACUCGAGUGAUGUCUGUUAUUUGUAACCAAGAGACCCUUACCUAAGAAUCAGUUUAUUUCUGAAGAUCUCGGUUUCCUUAUCUGUAAAAUGACCAACAUUUUGUGAUUCAGGACACCCCCUCCCCAUAUGUAGCAGGUGCUCACAGAAGAGGCCCCCCCUUAAACGAUUCCUUCCUUCAGAUAAGGUCUUGGUAACGUGGGGUAUAGGUGGCAGAGACGUUUUGCUGCAACAGGGCUUCUCGAGCUCUGGUGUGCAUUGAAAUGACGUGGAGUCUGUCUAAAAUACAGAUUCCUGGACCCCACAUGUGCACGCUGUGAUCAUUGGGUAGGUCUGGUAGGGCCCAAUUAUCUCUAUUUUACAGGGUUUUUUUUUAGGUAUAACUGACAGUAAACUCCAUAUGUUUAACAAUUUUUUAAAUUUAAUUAAUUUUUUUUUUUUAGUAAUCUCUACAUGUACCCAACUUGGGGCUCAAACUCAGGACCCCAAGAUCAAGUGUUGCAUGCUCUUCCCGCUGAGCCAGCCAGGCGCCCUUAACAAUUUAAUGAGUAUGUAUGUGUAUCUGUAAAACCAUCGCCACAAUUAAGACAAUGAGAACUGCCAUGAAAAUCUCCAUCACCACCAAGUUUCUUGGUAUCUCUUUAUAAUCCUCCCCUCUUCCCCGCUGCCUUCCCCUGCUUCCCCAAGCAACCACUGGUCUGCUUUCUGUCACUAUAGAUAGUGUGCAUUUUCCAGAGUUUUACCUAAAUGAAAUCAUGCGGCCUGUACAUUUCCUUUGUCUGCCUUUUUUCACUCAGCCUAAGUAUUUUGAGUGUACGUGCAUGUUGAUGCGUUUAUCAAUAGCUCACUCUUUUAUUGCGGAGUAGGAUAUGCUAUAAUUGAUUUAUCUAAUCAUAUACUAAUGGACACUUGAGUUUCCAAUAUUUAACAAAUUUAACAAAUAAAACUGCUGUGAACCCUUCUGUACAACUCUGUAGGUACAAAUGCUUUUGUUCCCUGGGGUAAAUACCUAGGAGUGGAAUGGGGCGCCUGGGUGGCUCAGUCGGUUAACGUCCAACUUCAGCUCAGGUCGUGAUCUCACGGUACGUGGGUUCCAGCCCCGCGUCG
rnacentral:lncRNA from 1 species